GAUGAAGAACGUAGCGAAAUGCGAUACGUAAUGUGAAUUGCAGAAUUCAGUGAAUCAUCGAAUCUUUGAACGCAUAUUGCGCUCUCUGGUAUUCCGGAGAGCAUGCUUGUUUGAGUAUCAGUAAACACCUCAACUUCCAUAUCUUUUUUGAAAUGGAAGUUGGACUUGAGUGAUCCCAACGCUUUUCCUCACCGAAAAGUGGCGGGUUACUUGAAAUGCAGGUGCAGCUGGACUUUUCUCUGAGCUAUAAGCAUAUCUAUUUAGUCUGCCUAAAAAACAGAUUAUUACCUUUGCUGCAGCUAACAUAAAGGAGAUUAGUUCUUGUGCUGACUGAUGCAGGAUUCACAAAGACAGGCUUCGGCCGACUUUGUAAACUCGAUCUCAAAUCAAGUAAGACUACCCGCUGAACUUAAGCAUAUCAAUAACGGAGGA
rnacentral:misc_RNA from 1 species